CACGUAGGGCGCGAGCGUUGUCCGGAAUUAUUGGGCGUAAAGAGCUCGUAGGCGGCCUGUUGCGUCCGCUGUGAAAGCCCGGGGCUUAACCCCGGGUCGGCAGUGGAUACGGGCAGGCUAGAGGUAGGUAGGGGAGAAUGGAAUUCCCGGUGUAGCGGUGAAAUGCGCAGAUAUCGGGAGGAACACCGGUGGCGAAGGCGGUUCUCUGGGCCUUACCAGACGCUGAGGAGCGAAAGCGUGGGGAGCGAACAGG
rnacentral:rRNA from 1 species